rnacentral:rRNA from 1 species
AGUGAAUAGAUACCCGGGUAGUCCUAGCCGUAAACGAUACUCGCUAGGUGUCGGCCACGGUGCGGACCGUUGUCGGUGCCGUAGGGAAAGCCGUGAAGCGAGCCACCUGGGAAGUACGGCCGCAAGGCUGAAACUUAAAGGAAUUGGCGGGGGAGCACCACAACGGGUGGAGCUUGCGGUUUAAUUGGAUUCAACGCCGGAAAUCUUACCGGGACCGGCAGCGAUAUGAAGGCCAGGCUGAAGACUUUGCCGGAUUAGCUGAGAGGUGGUGCAUGGCCGUCGUCAGUUCGUACUGUGAAGCAUCCUGUUAAGUCAGGCAACGAGCGAGACCCACGCCCACAGUUGCCAGCGUACUCUCCGGAGUGACGGGUACACUGUGGGGACCGCCGCUGCUAAAGCGGAGGAAGGAAUGGGCAACGGUAGGUCAGUAUGCCCCGAAUAU